rnacentral:rRNA from 1 species
UUGCAGUUAAAAAGCUCGUAGUUGGAUUUCUGCGGGGGCGGGGCGGCCGGUUGCUUAUAGCAACUCGAGCUAGCACUUCCCCUGCAUCCUGCCGCGAACCGUGCUACCAUUAGUUUGGUGGCGCUGGGGAUCGGCUCGUUUACUUUGAGAAAAAUAGAGUGUUCAAAGCAGGCCACACGCCUUGAAUAAGUUAGCAUGGAAUAAUGAUAAAGGACUUCGGUUCUAUUUUGUUGGUGUUCGGGACUGAAGUAAUGAUUGAUAGGGACAGUUGGGGCGGUCAGUAUUCCAAAGCGAGAGGUGAAAUUCUUAGACCUUCGGAAGACUAACAGCUGCGAAAGCGUUCCGCAAGGAUGUUCCCUUUGAUCAAGAACGAAAGUUGGGGGAUCGAAGACGAUCAGAUACCGUCGUAGUCUCAACUAUAAACUAUACCAGCUAGGGAUCGGCCGACGUUUACUUAUAUCGACUCGGUCGGCACCUUAUGAGAAAUCAAAGCAUCUGGGUUCCGGGGGAGUAUGGUCGCAAGGCUGAAACUUAAAGGAAUUGACGGAAGGGCACCACCAGCCGUGGAGCCUGCGGCUUAAUUUGACUCAACA